rnacentral:lncRNA from 10 species
UGGAGUGCAGUGGCGCAAUUCUCAUGUCUCACCCUCCAGAGUAGCUGGGACUACAGUUGUGCACCACUAUGCCUAGCUAAUUUUUACAUUUUUAGUACAGAUGGAGUUUCACCAUGUUGGCCAGGCUGCUCCUGAACUCCUGACCUCAAGUAAUCUGCCUGCCUUGGCCUCCAAGAGUGUUGAGAUUACAGGUGUGCGCCACUGCACCUGGCCUUGGUAACAACUCUGAUAAAGAAAGUCUUUGGCCACAGGAGACGUAAACUAUCCCUAUUUUACAGAGGAUUCAUGGGACAUUAGGAGGCCACCAUAAUUAACAGCAGGCCGAUUGAGAAUUUCCUUUUGGCAGGGAACGUUUAUUCCAGUCCUGCUGCAGGCAGGCUGGGUGAGCGGCCCACCAGGAAGGGUCAAUGCCAAAACCAGCUCGGGCCUCCUCCUACAUUCUGCUGCACAAAGGAAGCCUUGGUACUCAACAGCUGAGUCUCAGGAGUUUGCUUCUGCCUGUACUUUACAGCAGGUGCUGCUGCCCACCCUUGAACCAUCAGGCUUCUUUCGUGAGCUUUUAUCUCUCAAGACCAGCCUCGGGAAAUGGUGCUGUAAUUACCUCUGAAAGACUGUCAGAUGCUUCAAAAAUGAAGACGCUCCUAGAAUCCUUAAGGGAAGAACUGCACUACGACAGGUCAAGAGUUGAGGUUUUAGGGAAGAAAUUCAUAUGCCCAUCAGAGGAGGGCUGGUCAGCAAUGGACACUUGGACAAAGAAGGACAGAGACAAAGCCUCCACCACAGCAGAGCCUGCAGGAUUGUUUUGGAUUCCUUUCCCAUUCUGAUGACAGUGAUCACAAAUCUCUGUUUAUCAGCGACAGUCCAGGGUAAUGAUAGUUGCUGCAAGGAGUUCCAGGGAGAAGAGCUGUAACUACUCCAAGUUCAACAUUGUCUCUUUUGUGUGUUUUAAUUAAAGUUUAAUUUUAAUUUGUAAAUGUCAUAUAUGCCAUUGGGAGAAAAUGAGAUUUAUAGGAGGAAGGACAGCUGAUUUUCAGAUAUUAGAAGAUAAACUGGUUAGGGAAACUGGUUAAAGUGUUUGUCUUAGAAAAGAGAAAGAAUACAUGAUGUUUGAACUUUAUCUUCAGGUGGAAUGAAGUACUAUCCCUACUUAGAUCUGGGCAUUUAAAGGAAAACACAGGAGAGUACCUUACUAGAUCUAAAGGCAGCUUUUCUGAUUGCUAAGAUAACUUAAUGGGCCACACAGGUCCUGCACACAAAACCAUGUCAUACUUCAUAUAUGAAGUAAACAAAUAUUUAUUGAACACUCUGUUUUGGCCAGGCACCAGGCUAAAAUGGCAAGCAACAUUUUUCAUGAU